CCAAUGGGGAAAACUGGAAAGGUUGCAUGGCCUUUGUGAUGUAUAGUCCUCUUCCAUACCGUUGGAGAGCAAGCUGGGCCCUCGUGGUCUGCAACCGGCAUAUUCCUACUGCUUCUCUGAGUCUUCAGGCAGUGAUUGAGGAGAUAAACCAUGAAGGAGACAUGU